GUGUGCGGUCGAAACGUUGAGCGUGCCUCCUGGGUUUCAGGAUUCUCUAUUUUAUGAACACACACGCGAGUCCGUAAAAUGGUCUCCGUUAACCUGUGGUGUUGAUACUAAUGUUUGUAAGCUAAAUUUUGUAUAGUAUAUUAAAAUGGCUGGUAAAGUAUGGAAUUCUGAGUUAUGGAAAACAUGGGAUAAGCAUGGAAAAAUUGAUUUCCUCAAGUUAAUCAAGCAAAAAUAUAAGGAAGGAAACACAACAGAAUGGAAAACAGGAUUAUAUCAAUUCAUAUCCAAUGGAAUCCGUGGAAAUCUAAAAAAAGACAGUGUCGUGACGACCCUGGGUGAACUCAUGAAUAUCGAUGGUGCGAUUCCAUCAGCAAUUGUGGAUAUAUUUACCUUAAUUGAUGCUGAAGCACAUAAUGAUGAACGAAACAAUUUGUAUUACAUUGUAAAAGAGUCUGAAAAGUUUCUAACAGAUAGAAUUCUUAAAGAACGCCUGGAAAUAGAUACUCUGCAAGAUGUUGGGACCUUAAAGAAUCGCAACUUUCAAACCAAAUUUAUCAAAGUUAAAACUAAACUCUAUUAUAAACAACGGAAAUUUAAUUUAUUUCGCGAAGAAAGUGAAGGAUAUUCCAAACUAAUAGUAGAAUUAAAUCAAGAAUAUCAGGAACAUGAGGUUGCAUCUACCUUGGAAAUUGUUAAAUCUCUAAUCGGUUACUUCAAUCUUGAUCCUAACAGAGUGCUCGAUAUUUUGCUUGAAACCUUUGAGAAUCGCCCGGAUGAUGACAGUCUUUUUAUUCCUUUGAUUCGUUCUUACAUGAGCGAUCAGCAAGUACUCUGCGAGGUUCUAGGUUUUAAAUACCGUUCAACGACAGCAGCUACACCCUUUUCCCUACAGAAAGUCACAGCAUUGAUGUUACAGCAUCAUGUUAUUGAAUUAGAUGAUAUUUUACCUUGGCUUGUACCAGAAGAUAAAGAUAUAAUCAAAGAUCAUGAAUCAGCAAUGAAACAAGCUAAAGAAUACGUGAAAAAAAUGAGUGUUAUAUCCACUAAAGACAAGGAAGAUGUUCCGGAAGAAAAAGAGAUUGUACAGGACAAAUAUAGUACCAAUCAGAAAUUCGGACUUUGUGAGGCAUUGUUAGAAGUCGGUGCAUGGGAAAUUGCUCAGAAUUUAUUCAGUCGUCUACCAGAUCAUUGUUUCACCGACCAACGCCCUAUUGCAUUGGCAUUGUGCAGAAUGAUUCAGUCAAUUAUAGAGCCAGCCUACAGGAAAUAUUGCAUCAUAUCACCUAAGUUACCUGGAAGGAAAGUAGCUCCUAUGAAGAGUCCAUUGGCUCCGCAGCCGUUUCAUAAAUUAGAAGACAUACAUGAUCGCUUACUGCCAAUGUUGGUGAUACUCGGACCAAACCUACAUCAUGACGCAAUUUUAAUGUACAAAGUUAUGCGCUUAUGUCAGACUGCUAUGAAACAAUGCGAAUUAGAUUCAAAUAAGCAGCCAGUAAAUAAAAAUAGCAGCCUCUAUUACGAUGUUCUUACCAUACUAGACGUGGCUUUAUUGCCGUCUCUUUCAUUUAUGGACUGCAACUGUUGCGUAGCUGAAGAAAUUUGGAAUAUCUUGAAAUAUUACCCAUACCAGAGUCGGUACUGUCUCUAUGCCAGAUGGAAAAAUGAUACACCUUUGCAACAUGCAGCGCUCCUGAAAAAGAGGGCAGAUGCUCAAAAGAAAAUUAAAUCUAUCAUGAAACGGGUUAGCAAGGAAACCAUUAAACCUGUUGGGAGAUCUAUUGGUAAAUUAACCCAUUCAUCUCCAGGAGUUUUAUUUGACUAUGUACUCGUACAAAUCCAAUUGUACGAUAAUCUUAUUGGGCCGGUUGUGGAUUCUUUGAAGUAUUUGACAAAUAUUUCUUAUGACAUACUCGGUUAUUGUUUAGUAGAAGCUUUAGCGGGAGCUGAUAGGAAUAGAUUCAAACACGACGGCACUAGCAUAUCCCUGUGGUUACAGUCGCUCGCUUCUUUCUGCGGAGCUAUUUUCAAAAAGUAUAAUAUUGAACUUACCGGCCUUCUGCAGUAUGUGGCCAAUCAACUUAAAGCACAAAAAAGCUUAGACCUGUUAAUUGUGAAAGAGAUCGUGCAAAAAAUGGCUGGCAUCGAAGCUGCUGAAGAAAUGACUCGCGAACAGUUAGAUGCAAUGGCAGGCGGCGACCUCCUGAAAAAUGAAGCUGGGUACUUCAGUCAAGUUCGAAACACAAAGAAAUCGUCGCAACGUUUGAAAGAAGCACUUUCAGAGCACGACUUAGCUGUGGCUUUAUGUCUGUUGAUGGCGCAACAGAAACAUUGUGUUGUAUAUAGAGAAACCGAUAAAUCUCACUUGAAACUUGUAGGGAAAUUAUAUGAUCAGUGUCAAGAUACACUAGUUCAAUUUGGAACAUUUUUGGGAUCGACAAUGACGGUUGAUGAAUACGUAGAACGGCUACCGUCGAUACAUUCUAUGCUUCAAGAUAAUCAUAUCCAUUCUGAUGUUGCAUUUUUUCUUGCUCGACCAAUGUUCGCACAUGCCAUUAACAUGAAAUAUGAUGCACUUCGUAAAGCUGAUCCUAAUUAUAAGAAAAUGUCGAGUGCCCUGAAACAAGCAAAAUAUGCAGAAGCGGCACAAGCAGUUAUGGCACCUGUUGCUCUAUCUGUCAGACCAUUACAUCCACUGAAAGUUUGGGAAGAUAUUUCUCCUCAGUUUUUAGUUACGUUUUGGUCACUUUCGAUGUUCGACUUAUACGUUCCUGUGGAAAGCUAUCAAAGGGAAAUCAAUAAGCUCAAACAACUCGCCACACAAGCUGCUGAUUCCAAAGAUAUGAAUAUGAGCAAGGGCAAAAAAGAACAAGAACGAUACACAACCUUGACUGAAAAGUUACAAGAUGAAAAGAAAAAACAAGAAGAACACGUUGAAAAAGUCUUUGCCUAUUUAAGGCAAGAAAAAGACUCAUGGUUCUUGUCACGAAGUGCAAAAUCUGCUAAGAAUGAAACAAUUACACAAUUCCUACAAUUGUGUUUAUUCCCGCGAUGCACGUUCACAACCGUUGAUGCUAUGUAUUGCGCCAAAUUCGUCCACACUAUUCAUUCGUUGAAGACCGCGAAUUUCUCUACACUGCUUUGCUAUGAUAGACUCUUCUGUGAUAUCACUUACUCAGUAACAUCCUGUACGGAAAAUGAGGCAAAUCGAUAUGGUAGAUUUUUAUGUGCUAUGUUGGAAACAGUGAUGAGAUGGCAUUCAGAAGAAGCUAUUUUUAAUAAGGAAUGCAGUAAUUAUCCUGGAUUCGUGACUAAAUUUCGCGUCAGCAAUCAAUUUUCAGAAGCCAAUAACAUGGUUGGAUUCGAAAAUUACCGGCACGUAUGUCACAAGUGGCAUUACAAAAUAACAAAGGCCAUCGUAGUUUGUCUGGAUUCCAAAGAUUACGUACAGAUCAGAAAUUCCCUCAUAAUAUUGAUUAAAAUAUUGCCACACUUUCCCGUCUUGGCAAAACUCUCUCAGAUACUUGAGAGAAAAGUUGAAAAAGUACGUGACGAAGAGCGUAGUCAGCGGCAAGACUUACACGUAUUAGCAAUGUCAUAUAGCGGACAGCUCAAAGCGAAGGCGUCCAGUAUGAUCAGGGAAUCAGAGUUUCAUCACGUUGGAGAUAAGGCUGGAAAAAAUCUCGAGUCUACCAAUGAUGAUGCGGUAGAAAAAGUUAGCAACGGGGUUGUAAAUAAAGAAAUUAAUAACGGAGAUUUACGCACAGAAAAAGAGGGGAAGGAACUACGUGAGAAACGCAGCAUGUCCGGUCAAACUCAUCACGACAAUUCCGAAAAACUCCGUAAAAAAGAAGAUGGCAAAGAAUUAUUGGAAGGAAGGGAAAAACCCAUUAAAAAAGAAGAACCCAAAUCAGAUGAUACUGUGGAUAAAAAAGAACGAAAAUAUUACAAGGAGGAACAUUAUUAUGGCGGGGGACUGGACAAUUUAGAUCGUGAUUUGUCUAGUGUAUCUAAUAGUAGUGGGAGUUCGGGGCCAUCACCAGAUGCACCUGAAAGGGAUACCAAGCGAAGAAAAGUUGAGAAUGCCCCUAAAGUUAAACAAGAAAAUAGAAGAACAGAAGUAGUAGCAGAAAAGAAAGAACGUUCUGGGAAAACAAAAGUACGAACAGAUGAAGAGAAAGAACUUCGCAGGGAACGAAAACUCGGUCGUAAAAGAGAUCGAACAGAAGAGACUGUUGUUCCAGCAGAACAAAAACGAAGAAAAGAUGACGAGAGAGCAAAAGGAACCCAUCAAAAUGGCGAUGUUCCAGAACAUCGAGAAAAACACCAUUAUAAUAAGUUCUUAAAGACGUCCGCUUCAAGUAUGUUGAAAAGGCGAAUUGGAAGACAGUAACAAUUCCCAGAGGGAAUAAAUAGGAAAAGUCUCCAUACACAAAAGAACGAGUCCACGAACGCGAAGGACGUGAGACACGAGAUAAACAUAGACGGAGUUCAGAUCCAAAGCGAAGGUGAUGUAAUUCAAUGGAAGAAGUUUGACUUACACUUUAUAGCAUAUGUUUGAAUGUUGUAUGUAAUUAAGAUAGAUUUCGAAACAAUAAAAAAAAGCAUAGUGAAUAA